AGAGUUUNNNCNUGGNUCAGGACGAACGCUGGCGGCGUGCUUAACACAUGCAAGUCGAGCGGUAAGGCCCUUUCGGGGGUACACGAGCGGCGAACGGGUGAGUAACACGUGGGUGACCUGCCCUCAGCUCUGGGAUAAGCCUGGGAAACUGGGUCUAAUACCGGAUAUUCACUUCCUGCUGCAUGGUGGGUUGUGGAAAGUUUUUUCGGCUGGGGAUGGGCCCGCGGCCUAUCAGCUUGUUGGUGGGGUGAUGGCCUACCAAGGCGACGACGGGUAGCCGGCCUGAGAGGGCGACCGGCCACACUGGGACUGAGACACGGCCCAGACUCCUACGGGAGGCAGCAGUGGGGAAUAUUGCGCAAUGGGCGGAAGCCUGACGCAGCGACGCCGCGUGGGGGAUGACGGCCUUCGGGUUGUAAACCUCUUUCGACCGGGACGAAGAGUGAUUGACGGUACCGGUUGAAGAAGC
rnacentral:rRNA from 1 species